GACGAACGCUGGCGGCGUGCUUAACACAUGCAAGUCGAACGGAAAGGCCCUGCUUUUGUGGGGUGCUCGAGUGGCGAACGGGUGAGUAACACGUGAGUAACCUGCCCUUGACUUUGGGAUAACUUCAGGAAACUGGGGCUAAUACCGGAUAGGAGCUCCUGCUGCAUGGUGGGGGUUGGAAAGUUUCGGCGGUUGGGGAUGGACUCGCGGCUUAUCAGCUUGUUGGUGGGGUAGUGGCUUACCAAGGCCUUGACGGGUAGCCGGCCUGAGAGGGUGACCGGCCACAUUGGUACUAAGAUACGGCCCAGACUCCUACGGGAGGCAGCAGUGGGGAAUAUUGCACAAUGGUCGGAAGCCUGAUGCAGCAACGCCGCGUGCGGGAUGACGGCCUUCGGGUUGUAAACCGCUUUCGCCUGUGACGAAGCGUGAGUGACGGUAAUGGGUAAAGAAGCACCGGCUAACUACGUG
rnacentral:rRNA from 1 species